UACGUAGGGUGCAAGCGUUGUCCGGAAUUAUUGGGCGUAAAGAGCUCGUAGGCGGUCUGUCGCGUCGGCUGUGAAAACCCGGAGCUCAACUCCGGGCCUGCAGUCGAUACGGGCAGACUGGAGUUCGGCAGGGGGAGACUGGAAUUCCUGGUGUAGCGGUGAAAUGCGCAGAUAUCGGAAGGAACACCUGUGGCGAAAGCGGACUCACUGGACCAUUC
rnacentral:rRNA from 1 species